GACAGGGGAUGCAAGCGUUACUCGGAAUUACUGGGCGUAAAGCGUCUGCAGGCUUCUUCCCACGUCUGGUGUUAAAGCACGAAGCUUAACUCCGUGUAUGUACCGGAAACGAGGAAGAUUGAGUCAUUCAGAGGCAUCUGGAAUGUCGUGUGUAGGGGUAAAAUCCGUAGAUCCACGAUGGAACGCCAAAAGCGAAGGCAGGAUGCUGGGAAUGUACUGACGCUCAGAGACGAAAGCGUGGGGAGCAAAGGGG
rnacentral:rRNA from 1 species